UUCUGCAUCGGGGGGAAGUUAAGCUUUGACAUAUAUUUUGCAAAUGCUUUAUUAAUGUUACCUUCACUGGCUUUUUUUGCGUUUCUGCUUUUGGUGUGCCAGCAGUUAAUUCUACCUUUAAGCUCGUGUGGCCUCUGUGGAGAUGGUUAAUAAAUGUUGGUAUUUUGGCACCUGAAACUAUGCAGCAAGUAAUGCUGCUCUGUUAGUGCCAGUGCCAACAUCUGUUGCUCAUGAAUCAUUGCUCAUAGUUAGAAUGCAUAACUGAGGAUUUGUUUAAAUAAAAAACGCUAUUAGCAGCGGGAUAAAAGAAUAUAAAAAGAAGGUUUUGGCUCCACUGGGAAGAAGGAUGGUUCACGUGCCAAAACGUGCCCCGAGCAUCUGCGAAAGCCCACCACUUACGUGGAGCCGAGGCACACCGCCAAGUGUUUCCCACCUGUUUGGUACCUCAGUUGGGAAUUUGUGUGUCAGCAUGUGCCUGGGGCAUGGUGAAGAGCAGGGAUGGACAAAGCAGUGUCCCAUUGCUGCUCCUUGUGAGCCAGGCCCUGUACCUCUCCUGUUGCUCUGCAAGUGCUGUAGCAACUCGUUCCGAUCCUCCUCUUGCUCCUGCCGGUGUCACUGUGUUGAUUGCUGGAGACAACGCCCAAGUCUUCUGCUGCAGAUCAGCAUGAACUAAGACCAAAGACUUGAACGCCAAGACACUGAACACAGCUUUUCGAGACCGAUGGGUUGUCUGGCCUCAUGUCUUACCUACACCCAUCAAGUCAGCCAUGGUGUUUGGUGGUUUCUCUCCCAUUUUGACAUCCACCUUUGUUUCUUGCUGCCCAAAUGAACUGCUCAGCACUUGAGCAUGAUUUGGGGCAGUAGUUGGGGUAGAAAGAGUUGGGUCUUGUAAGAAGCCUGACUUUCAGGCAGAAGCAGUUUCAGAUGGGCUGCACUAGCACCAGAAAACCCUUUUGCUUUGCUGGUGAAGGAAAAUGGUUCAGAGAAGUCGACAUUUUUCUGAGAAAACACAUCUUAAAGAAAUUGCAUAUUGGGUGGAGACAUUAAAAAGCCACAUAAAAUCUGCAAACAGCUGUAGGAUUUUUAAGAACCUCACAAUAUGGUGUUUUUGUCCCAAGCAGGAGCCCCUGUCGGUGUGAAAGGGGGGCAAAUAAUUUAAUUAUCUCCGAGUAAUUUUCCUGUCUUCCAUUUCAUACUUCCGAAGACGCAGGGGGAUGUGAGUGCAUGUGCGUGUUUGCAGUUAUGUUUUGUUCUGGUGAUUUAAUUUAAGCAGAACUAAAACUCAAAUUGAAAUUAGUGUGAAAAUGUAGUAGCAUUGUAGAGACAGUCCUGAAGGGAAGAAAAAAAAAUCCUUUCCGUGUUGCUAGCUUCAACAGGGAAUUUCCUUUUGUGUUCUGAGCUAAUCUUCUUUAUAGUAUGCCUCCAUUGUUAAACAUUUAAGGACCUAGGCUGCAAAGAAUUGAUUAAAAAUCUUGGCAAUUGCUGUGUGCCAUUAAACUUCAUUUUUGCUGUAACGUACUUUGCUAAUUUGCUAUGAUGUGUUUGAUUUAGUAGUUCAUUUAGCCAUUGCCAGCAGCAUUAGAGGAAAAGGUAAAUUUUCAGCUUGUUGACUGGUUUAAUAAUUUGAUUUAGUCUUUCCUCUUUGACGAGUUUACACCAAUGACAUUAAGAGC
rnacentral:lncRNA from 1 species